rnacentral:lncRNA from 1 species
CCCUGUUACUCAUAUCAGUCCUCAUCACUCACCUGUAUAUCAUCUGUGUUUUAAACUGUUUGUUCAGAUUUCUUCCACUGAUGGACAAUAUAGAGAGGAGAAAGAGAGAGAAGACAUUCCUACUGAAUCUGUGUCUUCAAGCAAUUCUCCAUGCUAGAGGAUCCAUACACACAAUUAUAGAUAAAGUGUUGUCACUGUCUGAAGUAUAUCACUAUCAGAAAUGGGAUUUCCUGCUGGAUCUGUACUCACAUGUGAAGGACUAUGAGACUCAAACAGGCAGGAGUGUACUUCCAGCAUUACAGCCAGUUUACCAGUCAGCUCCUGCAGUCUGGUCCAUAGACCUCUCAGAGAGAAAGGCCUCCCUCCUCCUAGAAAUGCUUAAAAUCCAACCAGAGAAGAAACCAGUAGUCCUGAAGGGCUGGUCAGAUGAAGAGAGUGAAGUGAGGAGUUUCCUUCAGUGUCUGCCCUACAUCUCACAGCUGAGUUUCUAUCCAUGGUGGCCUGUUCCCUCAAAGCAGAUCAAGUUCCUGGUGGAUCUCCUGUCUCAAGCAGCAGAGAGGGAGGAGCAGACAGGAGAGAAGACACUGAUGCUGGUGUCAUCAGUGUGUACUUACAGCGCUUUCCCCUUCUGUGACUGGCAUGAUGAGAAUAAGGAAGAUCAAUGUGAUUUCCUGCUGGAUCUGUUCUCACAUAUGAAGGAAUAUCAGACUCAAACAGACAGGAACGUCCUUCUAGCAUUACAGCCAGUUUACCAGUCGGCUCCUGCAGUCUGGUACAUAGACCUCUCAGCGAGAAAGGCCUCCCUCUUCCUAGAAGUGCUGAAACUCCAACCAGAGAAGAAACCAGUAGAGCUGAAGGGCUGUUCAGAUGAAGAGAGUGAAGUGAGGAGUUUCCUUCAGUGUCUGUCCUACAUCUCACAGCUGAGAUUUCCUCCACUGAAGGAUAAUGUAGAGAGGAGAAAGAGAGAGAAGACAUUCCUACUGAAUCUGUGUCUUCAAGCAGCUCUCCAUGAGAGAGGAACCAUACAAACAACUGUAGAUAAAGUGUUGUCACUGUCUGAAGUAUAUCACAAUCAGAAAUGGGAUUUCCUGCUGUAUCUGUACUCACAUGUGAAGGACUAUGAGACUCAAACAGGCAGGAGUGUCCUUCCAGCAUUACAGCCAGUUUACCAGUCAGCCAGUCCUGCAGUCUGGUCCAUAGACCUCUCAAAGAGAAAGGCCUCCCUCGUCCUAGAAGUGCUGAAACUCCAACCAGAGAAGAAACCAGUACAGCUGAUGGGCUGGUCAGAUGAAGAGAGUGAAGUGAGGAGUUUCCUUCAGUGUCUGCCCUAUAUCUCACAGCUGAGUGUUACUCCACCACAGGAACAGAGAAGAUCCCCUGAAGAGAGGAGAAAGAGAGAGAAGACAUUCCUACUGAAUCUGUGUCUUCAAGCAGCUCUCCAUGAGAGAGGAACCAUACAAACAACUGUAGAGAAGGUGUUGUCAUUGUCUGAAGUAUAUCACUAUCAGAAAUGUGAUUUCCUGCUGGAUCUGUACUCAUUUGUGAAGGACUAUGAGAUUCAAACAGGCAGGAGUGUCCUUCCAGCAUUACAGCCAGUUUACCAGUCAGCUCCUGCAGUCUGGUCCAUAGACCUCUCAGAGAGAAAGGCCUCCCUCCUCCUAGAAGUGCUGAAACUCCAACCAGAGAAGAAACCAGUAGAGCUGAAGGGCUGGUCAGAUGAAGAGAGUGAAGUGAGGAGUUUCCUUCAGUGUCUGUCCUACAUCUCACAGCUGAGUUUUACUCCUCCAUGGGAUCAGAGAAGAUGCCCUGAAGAGAGGACACAGAGAGAGAAGACAUUCCUACUGAAUCUGUGUCUUCAAGCAGCUCUCCAUGAGAGAGGAACCAUACAAACAACUGUAGAGAAAGUGUUGUCACUGUCUGAAGUAUAUCACAAUCAGAAAUGUGAUUUCCUGCUGGAUCUGUGCUCACAUGUGAAUGACUACGAGACUCAAACAGGCAGGAGUGUUCUUCCAGCAUUACAGCCAGUUUACCAGUCAGCCAGUCCUGCAGUCUGGUCCAUAGACCUCUCAGAGAGAAAGGCCUCCCUCUUCCGAGAAGUGCUGAAACUCCAACCAGAGAAGAAACCAGUAGAGCUGAAGGGCUGGUCAGAUGAAGAGAGUGAAGUGAGGAGUUUCCUUCAGUGUCUGCCCUACAUCUCACAGCUGAGUUUUACUCCACCACGGGAUCAGAGAAGAUCCCCUGAAGAGAGGAGAAAGAGAGAGAAGACAUUCCUACUGAAUCUGUGUCUUCAAGCAGCUCUCCAUGAGAGAGGAACCAUACAAACAAUUGUAGAGAAAGUGUUGUCACUGUCUAAAGUAUAUCACGAUCAGAAAUUUGAUUUCCUGCUAGAUCUGUACUCACAUGUGAAGGACUAUGAGACUCAAACAGGCAGGAGUGUCCUUCCAGCAUUACAGCCAGUUUACCUGUCAGCUCCUGCAGUCUGGUACAUAGACCUCUCAGAGAGAAAGGCCUCCCUCCUCCUAGAAGUGCUGAAACUCCAACCAGAGAAAAAACCAGUAGAGCUGAAGGGCUGGUCAGAUGAAGAGAGUGAAGUGAGGAGUUUCCUUCAGUGUCUGCCCUACAUCUCACAGCUGAGGCUGAAUGUGGGUAUGGCAGUGAAACUGUCCAGACUGGUUAGGAGGACAGAGAGAGAAGCUACUCCACUGACUGUCCCAGAACUCUCCCUGGUCCUAAAGAGCAGCCAGCCACCAGAGAGAGUGUUAUCCAGGGCUCUGAGUAGUGUGGCGUCCCUGCUGAGACUCUGGAGGUUUCAGUGUCUGGACCUGACUGACUUCCUGAUCCAGGGUCACUCUCUCAUCACACUGCUGUGUCACCAGGGACCUCUCUCUCUCAGACUGAACUCAGACACUCUGCAGCAGCUGACUGUAGUUGUGUAUGAAGCUCAGGACAAGGACUUGACUCAGUGGUUCCUGGAGAAGGUUGGUGGAGACCUGACCUCCUGCAGGCUGGACUGGGAAGUGCUUCUCUCUCUGCUGCAACAUUCAACCCACAACAUCACUGUGGACCUCAGGAAGAACAGGCUUCUAGAGAAGAACAUCUCAGAUCUUCUCCCCUUUCUGGGAAGGGUUACCCUCAAGAGGUCCAGUUCCAGCUUUGUAAAGUCCUCCAUCAGACAGAUCUAUGACAGUAGAGACAGUGACUGUGUGUCCAGUUUGUUGAGGUCUUCAGAACAUUGGAUCAACCUGAACAGCAGAGAGCUGGACAGAGUGGACUGUUCUGCUCUGUGUUUUACCCUGCAGCACAGCCACCAAGUCAAAGUCAACCUGCUGUGGACCUCCAUACCACCGGGGGAGAUAGAGAGCAUCCUGCCUCUUCUGGACAGAGUCUCCCAACUCAGUGUUGACAGGAAGUUACUGCUGAGUUUCCUCCAGUGCUGUGCUGCCUCUCAGAUCCAGCAGGGGGCACCACCACCACCAACAGCAGUAUGGCUGCUCAGGUCUCUGCACUACAGGCUGGACUUCUCCUGCUCCUCCUCUGUGGACCUGUCAGCUCAGGACCAGGAGAAGGCUCUGUGUCUGACCACUGACCACUGCAGGGCCAUCAACUCUGUUCUGAAGCAGAACCAACACAGCACUCAGCUGGUCCAGAACCAGGUCCAGCUCAUCCUAAGAGACUGUGAGGUGGAGGACAGAGCACUGAGGGAGCUGCUUCCCAUCCUGCAUAUUGUCAAGCUGAGCCCCAGCAAAGCUCUGCUACUUCAGCUGCUGGACCUUGUGUGUGAGGGGAUUGAAGAGGGGCUGCUGAGGCACGCAGAGUCCCUGUGCAGAGCCCUGGAUGGGGAACUGGACCUCAGUGAGACCAGGCUGGACCAGAAGGCCUGUGGAUCUCUGGCCCUGGUUCUGGAACACUCAGAGGGUCUGUCAGAACUGGACCUCAGCCACUGUCAACUCACAGACCACCACCUACAGCCCCUGAUCACACACCUGCAUAAAGUACAAGUCCUGGACCUGAGCCACAAUGACAUCACUGAUGCUCUGACUGACAGAAUACUCCAACUGGUCUCUACCAACACUUCAAUGCACACCGUACGACUUUUCAACAACAGAAUCAUGAACAGGACCCCUUUCCUGACAGACAAGAGGUUUGAGAUCUGAUUAAACAUCAGGUCUUGGUCCAGGAAGAGGAAGAGAUGGCUGUUUAGAUCUUAGUCCAAAUCAAAAUAAAAUUCUAUUGGUGUAACGGCUGUCUGAAGAGAGAGUAGACCAAGGUGCAGCGGAGUUAGUGUUCAUCAUGAUUUUAAUUGAACAACGUGAACACUAUACAAAAACAAGAAAAAACCGACAGCCAAACAGUCCUGUCAGGGGCAAAACACUCAACAGAAACAAUUACCCACAAAACCCAAAGGAAAAACAUGCUCCUUAUGUGUGACUCCCAAUCAGCAACAACGAACUUCAGCUGUGCCUGAUUGGGAGCCACACACGGCCCAAAACAAAGAAAUACAAAAACAUAGAAAAGGAACAUAGAAUGCCCACCCAAUGUAACACCCUGGCCUAACCAAAAUAAAGGACAAAAACCCGUCUCUAUGGCCAGGGCGUUACAGUACCCCCCCCCCCCCCCCCCCCCCCAAGGUGCGGACUCCGACUGCAAAACCUGACUCUGAAGGGGAGGGUCCGGGUGGGCCUUCUUACGGCGGCGGCUCAGGUGCGGGACGUGGCCUCUGCUCCACCCUCGACGUCGCCCUCUUAGGUGGCGCACCUGGCCGCGCCGAAGGUCUGGUGGGCGACCCUGACUGCGCCCGGCUGACGGGCGGCGAUGGUUGUGCCCGGCUGGCGGGCGUCCCUGGAAGCUCCGGCGGCACUGACCCAGGAUUCACCAGGCUGAGGAGACAUGUAAGAGACCUUGCCCUAGGCGCAGGCACAGGACUCACCGGGCUGGCGGGCGGCUCUGGAUAGGCCGGCGGCUCUGGCGGCUCCGGACAGGCGGGCGGCUCUGGCGGCUCCGGACAGGCGGGCGGCUCUGGCGGCUCCUGACUGGCAGGCGGCUCUGGCGGCUUCUGACUGGCGGGCGGCUCUGGCGGCUCCUGACUGGCGGGCGGCUCUGGCGGCUCCUGACUGGCGGGCGGCUCCGGACAUGCGGGCGGCUCUGGCGGCUCUGGACUGGCGAGACCCACUGGAGGCCUAGUCCAAGGAGGCGGCACAGGAGAGACCAGGAUGGGGAGACCCACUGGAGGCCUGGUCCGUGGAGCAGGCACAGGACUGACCAGGAUGGGGAGACCCACUGGAGGCCUGGUCCGUGGAAGUGGCACAGGAGAGACCAGGAUGGGGAGACCCACUGGAAGCCUGGUCCAUGGAGGAGGCACAGGCUUAUCCAGGAUGGGGAGACCCACUGGAGGCCUGGUCCGUGGAAGCGGCACAGGAGAGACCAGGAUGGGGAGACCCACUGGAGGCCUGGUCCGUGGAGGCAGCACAAGAUUCACCAUGCUGGGGAGACAUGCAGGAGGCCUGGUUCUGGGCGCAGGCACAGGAUAGACCGGGUCCUGAAGACGCACUGGAGGUCUAGAGCGCACGGCCUGCACAACCCGUCCUGGCUCAAUGCCCAACCUCCCCCGGCAGAUGUUAGGAGCUGGGAUGUAACGCACCGGGCUCUCCACGCGUACUGGGGACACCGUGCGCUUUACUGCAUAACACGGUGCCUGACCAGUACUACGUUGCCUCCUGUAAGCACGGGGAGCUGGCUCAGGUCUCCAACCUGACUCUGCCACACUCCCCGUGUGCCCCCCCCAAAUUUUUUGGGGGGGCUGCUUCUCGGGCUCUACCUGCCUCCCAGGGACGUUGUCACAGUGGUCCCGCAAUUGCUCCCAUGUCCAGUCAAUCCUUGACUCCAACACCUCCAGCGACCAGGAUGCCAUGUCCUCCCGAGCGCGCUGCUUCCAAUAGUCCUCCUUGACUUCCAUCUGCCCUCUUCUCCGCUGCUUGGUCUUUUUGUGGUGGGUAAUUCUGUAACGGCUGUCUGAAGAGAGAGUAGACCAAGGUGCAGCAGAGUUAGUGUUCAUCAUGAUUUUAAUUGAACAACGUGAACACUAUACAAAAACAAGAAAAAACUGACAGCCAAACAGUUCUGUCAGGUGCAAAACACUCAACAGAAACAAUUACCCACAAAACCCAAAGGAAAAACAUGCUCCUUAUGUGUGACUCCCAAUCAGCAACAACGAACUUCAGCUGUGCCUGAUUGGGAGCCACACACGGCCCAAAACAAAGAAAUACAAAAACAUAGAAAAAGGAACAUAGAACACCCACCCAAUGUAACACCCUGGCCUAACCAAAAUAAAGAACAAAAACCCCUCUCUAUGGCCAGGGCGUUACAAUUGAUCACAUACACAUGGUUAGCAGAUGUUAAUGCGAGUGUAGCGAAAUGCUUAUGCUCCUAGAUCUGACAGUGCAGCACUAUCUAACAGGUAAUAUCUAACAAUUCCACCACAAAACCUAAUACACAAAAUCUAGUAAAGGAAUGGGAUGAGAAUAUAUAAAUAUAUAAUAUAUGGAUGAGCAGUGACAGAGCGGCUAAGAUGCAAAAGAUAGUAAAGAAUAGAUAGUGAAGGAUACAGUAUACAGUAUAUACAUAUAAGAUGAGUAAUGCGAGAUAUGUAAACAUUCUUAAAGUGGCAUUAUUAAAGUGGCUAGUGUUCCAUUUAUUAAAGUGGCCAAUGAUAUCAAGUCUGUAGGUAGGCAGCCACCUCUCUGUGCUAGUGGUGGCUGUUUAACAAUCUGAUGGCCUUGAGAUAGAAGCUGUUUUCAAUCUCUCUGUCCCAUCUUUGAUGCAUCUGUAUUGACCUCGCAUUCUGGAUGGAAGCGGGGUGAACAGGCAGGGUGGUUAUUGUCCUUGAUGAUCUUUUGUGUCUUCCUACUCAUAUUUAGAUUUGUAUUAUUCUCAGUUAAAGUAAAAUUCUAGGAGGGAUCCUUAAGGUUACCUCAUUGAUAGAAGUGUGUUAAAGUAGCCGGUAGAGUUUUUAGACGCCAGCUGAGGGACUGAUCAUCCUGAGGGGGGAGAUAAAAAACAGUAUGUAAAGUUGUAGAAGGUAAAAACCUGUUUUUCUAUGUAUUAAUUACUGUGCUUCUCAUAAAGUUGUAAAAUACAACACAUAUUGUAUUGGCAAUAAGGGUAUAGUUAAGGGCGUUGAAGGUGUCUAUCAAUUUAAUUUACUGUUGAUGUUGCUUAUCAUUGAUUGGUGAUAUUGAUUUGUGAUUGACUGAUUGAUCUGGAAUAUUUUAUCCAUGUUUCUGGAAUGUUGAAUAAAGUUGCUUUAUUGUUCUGAAAAGAGUCAUACAAGUUCAUGU